rnacentral:rRNA from 1 species
GAUGAACGCUGGCGGCGUGCCUAAUACAUGCAAGGCGAGCGAACAGACGAGGAGCUUGCUCCUCGGACGUUAGCGGCGGACGGGUGAGGAACACGGGGAUAACCUACCGAUAAGACUGGGAUAACGUCGGGAAACCGGAGCGAAUACCGGAGAAGAUAGUGAACCGCAUGGUUCAAUAGUGAAAGACGGUGGUGCUGUCACGGAUAGAGGGAUCCGCGCCGCAUUAGCUAGUGGGUAAGGGAACGGCUUACCAAGGCAACGAUGCGUAGCCGACCUGAGAGGGUGCUCGGCCCCACUGGACCUGAGACCCGGUUCCGCCUCCUACGGGAGGCAGCAGUAGGGAAUCUUCCGCAAUGUGCGAAAGCCUGACGGAGCAACGCCGCGUGAGUGAUGACGGUCUUCGGAUCGUACAACUCUGUUAUUAGGGACGAACAAAUGUGUAAGUCACUAUGCACGUCUUGACGGUACCUAAUCAGAAAGCCACGGCUAACUACGUG